rfam:Shinella sp. DD12 SHLA_113c, whole genome shotgun sequence.
AGUUGAUGCACACAGCGGUUUUCCUCCCAGUGCCGCUGCAUCAGCUGUUCCCCUCUGGAGGUUUUAUGACCUUCACACUUCAUGGGCCGCGGUUUCCGCUGGCCCAUUUUU